UUUUCAAGGCCUUUCUUUCUUGGAAUUAUCGUCCAUCUGUGUCAACUUGACCUUGUUUCUUGUGUUUCUCUUUAUUGUAUCUGCUAAGCAGAUAUAUCUAUGUGUCGGUCGGGUUCGAUUUCGGAAGGAUGAUUCUGAUGGUAAUUCAGUUCCUAGUAGACAUAGAAGUGGCGAUGUGGAAAUAAUACAGAGUAUUGAGUUAGGUAGAGAUUUCGGAAGGAUGAUUCUGAUGCUAAUUCAGUUCCUGGUAGACAUAGAAGUGGUGAUGUGGAAAUAAUACAGAAUAUUGAGUUAGGUAGAGCCUAUAAAGCUUCAGUAUUGUGUUGCUUUUAUGUCUUGUUUGUGCAUGUUGUGGUUUUAGG
rnacentral:lncRNA from 1 species